AUACGGAGGAUGCGAGCGUUAUCCGGAUUUAUUGGGUUUAAAGGGUGCGUAGGCGGUCGGGUAAGCGUAGGGUGAAAGUCCUCUGCUCAACAGAGGAAGUGCCUUCCGAACUGUCCGACUGGAAUGCUCCUGCCGUGGGAGGAAUGUGUGGUGUAGCGGUGAAAUGCAUAGAGAUCACACAGAACACCGAUUGCGAAGGCAUCUCACGAAGGGGCUAUUGACGCUGAGGCACGAAAGCGUGGGGAUCAAACAGGAUUAGAUACCCUGGUAGUCCACGCAGUAAACGAUGAUGACUAACCGUCGGUCAAGACUGAUCGGUGGCCAAGCGAAAGCGAUAAGUCAUCCACCUGGGGAGUACGACCGCAAGGUUGAAACUCAAAGGAAUUGACGGGG
rnacentral:rRNA from 1 species